GAUGAACGCUGGCGGCGUGCCUAAUACAUGCAAGUCGAACGCUUCACUUCGGUGAAGAGUGGCGAACGGGUGAGUAAUACAUAAGUAACCUGGCAUCUACAGGGGGAUAACUGAUGGAAACGUCAGCUAAGACCGCAUAGGUGUAGAGAUCGCAUGAACUCUAUAUGAAAAGUGCUACGGGACUGGUAGAUGAUGGACUUAUGGCGCAUUAGCUGGUUGGUGGGGUAACGGCCGACCAAGGCGACGAUGCGUAGCCGACCUGAGAGGGUGACCGGCCACACUGGGACUGUGACACGGCCCAGACUCCUACGGGAGGCAGCAGUAGGGAAUUUUCGGCAAUGGGGGAAACCCUGACCGAGCAACGCCGCGUGAAGGAAGAAGUAAUUCGUUAUGUAAACUUCUGUCAUAGAGGAAGAACGGUGGAUAUAGGGAAUGAUAUCCAAGUGACGGUACUCUAUAAGAAAGCCACGGCUAACUACGAGCCAGCCGCCGCCGUAA
rnacentral:rRNA from 1 species